AAUCAACGCUGGCGGCGUGCCUAAUACAUGCAAGUCGAACGCGAAGUCCCCGCAAGGGGAUUGUAGCGUGGCAAACGGGUGAGUAACGCGUGGGCGACCUGCCUUCGAGUGGGGGAUAACCUUCCGAAAGGGAGGCUAAUACCGCAUGACAUGCCCCGUUUAGAUACGGGGACAUCAAAGCUGGGGAUCGCAAGACCUGG
rnacentral:rRNA from 1 species